rnacentral:rRNA from 1 species
GACGAACGCUGGCGGCGUGCUUAACACAUGCAAGUCGAACGAGGUCCAUGUCGUAGCAAUACGUCGGAAGACCUAGUGGCGAACGGGUGAGUAACACGUGAGGAACCUAUCCCAGACUCAGGGAUAACAGACGGAAACGUCUGCUAAUACCUGAUGCCGUCGGAGCACCACAUGAUGCGCUGACGAAAGAUUUCUCGGUUUGGGAGGGCCUCGCGGCCUAUCAGCCUGUUGGUGGGGUAACGGCCUACCAAGGCAUCGACGGGUAGCUGGUCUGAGAGGAUGAUCAGCCACACUGGGACUGAGACACGGCCCAGACUCCUACGGGAGGCAGCAGUGGGGAAUCUUGCGCAAUGGGCGAAAGCCUGACGCAGCAACGCCGCGUGAGGGAUGACGGCCUUCGGGUUGUAAACCUCUUUUGUCAGGGACGAUGAUGACGGUACCUGACGAAUAAGUCACGGCUAACUACGUGCCAGCAGCCGCCGUAAAAC